rnacentral:rRNA from 1 species
UACGAAGGGGGCUAGCGUUGCUCGGAAUCACUGGGCGUAAAGGGUGCGUAGGCGGGUUUUUAAGUCAGGGGUGAAAUCCUGGAGCUCAACUCCAGAACUGCCUUUGAUACUGAAAAUCUUGAGUCCGGGAGAGGUGAGUGGAACUGCGAGUGUAGAGGUGAAAUUCGUAGAUAUUCGCAAGAACACCAGUGGCGAAGGCGGCUCACUAGCCCGGUACUGACGCUGAGGUGCGAAAGCGUGGGGAGCAAACAGG